rnacentral:rRNA from 1 species
GUGGGGAAUCUUAGACAAUGGGCGCAAGCCUGAUCUAGCCAUGCCGCGUGAACGAUGAAGGCCUUCGGGUUGUAAAGUUCUUUAGCCGAUGAUUAUAAUGACUGUAGUCGGAAAAUAAGCCCCGGCUAACUUCGUGCCAGCAGCCGCGGUAAUACGAAGGGGGCGAGCGUUAUUCGGAAUCACUGGGCGUAAAGCGUGCGUAGGCGGUCUCGUAAGUUAGGAGUGAAAGCCCAGGGCUCAACCUUGGAAUUGCUCUUAAAACUGCAAGGCUAGAAUCUCGGAGAGGAUAGCGGAAUUUCCAGUGUAGCAGUGAAAUGCGUAGAUAUUGGAAGGAACACCAGUGGCGUAAGCGGCUAUCUGGACGAGUAUUGACGCUGAGGCACGAAAGCGUGGGGAUCAAACAGGAUUAGAAACCCUGGUAGUCC